rnacentral:lncRNA from 1 species
CCAAAACGUCUAUCAAGCGAAAACAAAGUCAUUGGAUAACAUCAAAGCUCUAGGUCCGAAAAUCGGGAAACCCUAGAAUUUGAAGAAAAACAAAGUCAUCGGAUAAUACCAAAGCUCUAGGUUCGAAAGUCGGAAAACCCUUGAAGAACUCGUCGGAAUAAAACUAGGAAUGCCGAAAAAUUACCCAAAACACCCACUGAUACAAGAUCGGAACCUUGAAUAACAGGAAAGUUCCGAUUAUCCGCUCAACAUUCGUUGAAACAUCUCCAAACAGUAUCUCUCACCGGUAACCAUAAAAAACCUUCAGCAAAAGCUUCAAACAGGAUCGAUAACACGCAACCGAGAAGGAUCCGGAGAUCAUCCGGCUCUGAUACCAUGAAAACGUGAAGAUUAAGCUAAAGAACAUGAAGGAUAUAGUGAGAGAAAGAAGAGAGAGAAGGAGAGUAGUUGAGAGAACUCUCCAGAAGAUCGAGAAACUCUGCCAAG